rfam:Gossypium hirsutum cultivar TM-1 chromosome 11, whole genome shotgun sequence
AAUCCAUACAUUGGACACUUUCGAAUUAAAUCUUUAAAUCGUUCCCAAGCUUCAUAUAAUGUUUCAUCCUCUAAUUGUUGAAAAGGCGUAAUACUAUUUCUCAACUU